rnacentral:lncRNA from 1 species
AAGUGUUCUCUUAGGCAAAAAAUUAAUUUUAUACAUAUCAUGGGUCUUGAAAGCUCCACUAUAAAAUUCGAUGUGAUUCUUCACUUGAAAUUGUAAGCGUCGAACAAUAUUAUAUCACAUACACCAAUAUUAUAUCAUAUCGUUUCACAAUUAAUGAAAUUGUAAGCGAGGAUAAUUAAUGAGUUGAGCCUCCAUAGGAAUGACUACUUGAAAUUGUAUGGGGGUGAUGAUCGUUUGACUUAUAUCACAAAUGCACUCUUGCC